rnacentral:tRNA from 1 species
AGAAAGUAAUCUUAAAGUUAAGAGUUUUAUUUACAAUAAAAAUUUUCUGUUAAACUCAGAAUUUUCUA